UACAGAGGUCUCAAGCGUUGUUCGGAAUCACUGGGCGUAAAGCGUGCGUAGGCGGCUUAGUAAGUCAGAAGUGAAAGCCCGCAGCUCAACUGCGGGACUGCUUUUGAAACUGCCAAGCUAGAGUGUCGGAGAGGUAAGUGGAAUUCCUAGUGUAGCGGUGAAAUGCGUAGAUAUUAGGAGGAACACCAGUGGCGAAGGCGGCUUACUGGACGAUGACUGACGCUGAGGCUCGAAAGCGUGGGGAGCAAACAGG
rnacentral:rRNA from 1 species